CUAAAGAUCACUAGCUGUAUAUUCUAACUAGGUAUAUAAAGAGUCCUAGUAGUGACCCUAAUUAUGGCUUAAAAAAAAAAGAAAAUAAUGCCAGCUAAAUAGUCAAAAUAGAUAAUCUAAAUGUCCCCCAGUAGUAGUGACUAAAUCACUAUUCACAUCCCCCACUAGUAAAAACAAAAGACCGGCAAACGCUCGACGCGCGUUUCGGCGUGAUCACACGCCUUUAUCAAGAGCACCUAGCACGGCUGAAGGAAGGAGGGUAAAUUUAUAUCGGGAAGCGUGCCGCCCAUAUGGUUGUGUGUCCAAUCGGCUUAGUUGGGGGCGUGGCUAUGACCCGAUUGCGUCCUCCUCCUUCAACAAGUCUGUCCAUCUACAGAUCACGUGUGCUCACAAGGAGCGUCAAAUAUCGCCAUAGUAACAGGCUGACUGCAUACACAUGCAGUACAGAGACACCUCUUAAGGGUCUAUUUUCUACAUUAUUAGCUAUAUAGUAGGAGUUAAUUAAGUGCGUUCUGAUAGAUACAGUUAGCCUUCAUUCAGCAAGGCAUCUAUGUUGUAAAAGGAAAGAGAAACAUGUAACACAGAGUCAAUUAUAAGGCUCAAAAUGCAGUCAUAACUCAUUGCUUAUUUCGAUCUAUCAGUCACUAUAAUGGUG